GCCAAUGUAGUGUAGUGGUUAGAGUGCUGGACUAGGACUCUGGAAGACCAGGGUUCAAAUCCUUGCUCAGCCA